rnacentral:rRNA from 1 species
AUUGAACGCUGGCGGCAGGCCUAACACAUGCAAGUCGAGCGAGCGGCGGACGGGUGAGUAAUGUCUGGGGAACUGCCCGAUGGAGGGGGAUAACUACUGGAAACGGUGGCUAAUACCGCAUACUGUCUGAUGUGCCCAGAUGGGAUUAGCUAGUAGGUGGGGUAACGGCUCACCUAGGCGACGAUCCCUAGCUGGUCUGAGAGGAUGACCAGCCACACUGGAACGGAGACACGGCCCAGACUCCUACGGGAGGCAGCAGUGGGGAAUAUUGCACAAUGGGCGCAAGCCUGAUACAGCCAUGCCGCGUGUGUGAAGAAGGCCUUCGGGUUGUAAAGCACUUUCAGUGGGGAGGCGUUACCCGCAGAAGAAGCACCGGCUAACUCCGUGCCAGCAGCCGCGGUAAUAC